UGAACUUGGUCUAACUGUCACCUUUUCUGCUACUGAUUGUUUGGUACAGGACCCUCAGACGGGGCAGACUAUUGGGAUCGGCCGUAAGCGUGGACGUCUCUAUGAACUCAUUCACCUUCAUGUUCCUACCUCUCCUCAGAUCGCUGCUCCUACCUCUACUUCCUCAUUAUCUCCCUUUCAUCUUUGGCAUUGUCGCUUAGGGCAUAUUUCUGUUACUCGUUUAAGGUCUUUGGUUUCUAGUGGACAGUUGGGUCAUGUAAUUCCCGAUCAUUUCGAUUGUAUACCCUGUCAACUUGCCAAACAACCUGCUUUAUCAUUUAAUAAAAGUACUUCUGUUUCCCUUGCACCUUUUGAUCUUAUACAUUCGGAUAUUUGGGGACCCUCCCCUACUACCACUAUGGGGGGAUCCCAUUAUUUUGUUGUUUUUAUUGAUGAUUUUUCCCGGUUUACUUGGCUUUUUCUCAUGAAGUUAAACAAGUUGAAGACUUGAAUAAUAGGGUUUGGGAUGCUUUGUAUUUCCUCUUAAAGGGUCUCAGGAUAGAAAUGUAGAAAUGACGUCAUGUCAACGUAAGAUUUGUUAGUAUAUGUUCAUCGUGAAUAUUGUUUGGAUUUAUAAUUCUGUUCUUGUUUCUCAGAAAUGAAGCUGUUUAUUGCCAAUAACCUGCAUUUCUUCGGCAACAAAUCAUUGAUGCACUUCCCUUUUUCCUGUAUUUUUUCCUUAGAAUCUCAGUCAUGUACUUGCUUUGUAGACAUGACAAAGCAAUAGACCUCUUCUCUUCAUUGCUUUUAUUUCUUCUUCUUCUUCUUUGGCUGGGAAGACAAAAGGAGACUUGAGCCCCUAACAUCAAAGGUUGACAAAGCAUCAGAUUGUAUUUGGCCUAUACGCCUAGUGAUUUGCUGUAAUAGAUUUGAAUUGUAAUCUAUGAACCUUCUCUCUCUUUUGCAAUUUCUCUUCCGUCACUAGUUUUUUUUUUUAUUUCCUUCAAGAAUAUGGUUCUACUUUAAGAUUUCAUUUUGUUUGUACCAAAUUCAAAAUCAAUUUUGUUUCCAAUUCCUUUCAAUCUUUAUUUUUUGUGACACGUCAUAUUUCUAACAGACCAAAUAUAUAGGUUUGUUUCUUUCUAGUAGUUGUCAGUGAUGACAUUAUUAAAAAAAGAAAAAAAAGAAAAAGAAUGAUUGGUUGACUCUGAUUUAGUUAAAUUCACUAGAUGACACAGAUUGGUUCUACUCCUCUUCAUCCCUAUUAUUUUCCUACUUAGGAAGCUCGUAUAUUUUUCUUUUUUCUUUUUUUUUUUCUUCUUCUUAUUUUCAAGUUUAGAUCUGUUUGUUUUAGUAAAUGAAUGUGUUUGUACUUAUAAUACGUGAGGUUGAUUGUCAACUGUUUUCUGCAUGUUUUUUAGCUCUGCUGUUACUUCAAACUUCAAAGUACUGUGAGACUGUUCAUAUGGUUUUGGAGUGGAAAUUCAUAUAAAAUCUAAUUCCUCCUAUGCAUGUUUAAUAGAUUUGAUUGAAUAGUUUAUGCCAAUGACUAGUAAAACGUAAAAUCUGGAUACAAUCAUAGUAAUCAUUGUACUACCAUCGUAAACCUAAAAUUCAAUUUCAACAACAUUUGGAGCCUGUAUUGUUUCGCUCCAUUAAAUUUGCAAUUGAAGUCUUUAUUAGGGUUACUUUUGGUACCAUCCAAACCUAAUAACUGUAUUUUUGCAAGAAGUCAUCAUUUUUUCUAUUUUAAAUUAAUUUGCGUAACCUAAAACACCUUCCCCUUGUAUUUGAGUCUUGUAUGAUACCCCUAUUGUCUCUAAAUGCUUUUCCUUGCCAAAAAAUAUUAACUUGACCCAGACAUUUAUUAGGUGAUCUUGUGUAAUUAAAUAAAUGACUACUAGGUUUACAUCCACGUAUUUCUACAUGGUCUUGAGGGCUGAGUCAUUGGUCAGGGAUGUUAAAUAGCAUGCUGCCGUUCUAUAUAUAGUUCUCUUCUUUUAUUUCUCAUUUUUUCCUUCUUCCUUCUUCCUUCUUUCUUUUUAUGUUUUUCUUUCUUCACAUACAUUUUUUAUGCCUGCAUAGUUAAUAUCUUUGUUAUGAUUAUAUAUUGACUUUCUUUCCUUGACAAGAACUUUAUACUUUAUUUUUAGUCAUAUGACUCUGUGAGUAUACUAUUGUAGACAUGUAGUUUACUAUCUACUAGUUUAGGUAUGGUUAUAAAAUUGGCACAAUUGGUUAUCUUUAGUGGAAUCUCCUCUUGUUGCUAAAAUGGUGUAAGUUCAAGUCCUUGAUGGGAUAUGCUUGUAUGUUUCCCAAAGACAAAAAAUGUCUCUCGUUUGUUUAGAGUGUUUCAUUUCUCGAAGCAAUGAUAAUUUGUUUGUCAGGUUUUAAGAACAUCUGUGCUUCUAGACCCUGCAGCCAAGAACACAAAAUCUGAUAAUGUUUGAUUUUUCUUCUUUGUAAUAAUCUAUUGCCAAAUGUUCUUUCAAGUUUCGGAUUUCAGAUUUCAAUUUCAAAGCUGGGGUGAGAUCUUUAACCUAACGGAUAGUGUAGUCAUUUAUGCUUUUUAGAGUGAUUAAAGACAUGUGAAAUCUCAUUUAAAAUUAUUCAUAUGUUAGAAUAGGCAGGCAGUGAGUCAGUGACCUAACAACACAAUAAAAUCAUCCCAGAUUCCAUUAUUCUGUUACGCAGACUUUAUAAUUUGUUAUAUUUGUAGUCUUGAGUGUUCAAAGUCCAAUGCUUUCUUUAAGAGUUUGAUUUUGCAACUUAUAUUGUUAGUUUCUACAAUCUAGUUGAUGUUGGAAAAACAAGAAGGAGAAAGGACUUGUUCACAAUCCAUUGUUUUUAGUAUAUGGUAGUUUAGUGAUUUUACAGGUUAGGGAUACAUUUUUUAUGGCAAAACUUCUAUUUUUUUAAAAAAAAUCCUUGACUAGGACUAGGUAUGCUGUUAUAGGAGUUUAGAAAGCCAUGGUUGUAGGAAAUUUUUAUCUUUACAAAUUUGUGUAAUGUAGUUUCUAUAAAAAAUUUGUAGUUGUAAUGAAAGUUUUUCCUGGUUAAAGCAUGAUUGUUGAAUUAUUCUACUGACUCGAGUGUGGAACUGAAGCAGCCCCUACGGAGUGAGGUACUUUUCUAUUUUUUCUAUUGGCUGAAUUUCUGUUCAUUCAAAUUUGUUGAACUCGCCUUAAUCAUCAGAAUCUGAACUUAUCUCUUGGAAUCCAUUAUUUUACAAACUGAUCACUAUUUUUUUGUUUUAAUAUGAACUAAGCAGUCCAUCACUAGUAGAGUGUGUAUCACCCUUUAAAGGUAGAGAUGGCAUGCAACUUUGAUGGUGGUAGUGCUGUCGGAAGGACUGCCAGCGUUAGGUGGUUGAGGUGGUGUUCUUUUGUUAAUUGUAGUGCUUGUGCUCUUGUGAUGAAGGUCAACUUGAAGUUGAGUGGAAGUGGAGGCAGAGGAAUUGCAGCUUAACAUGAUUGUGGUACUGGUGGCAUCAAUUGCCUUGGUGGCAAUGGUGGUGGUUGUUCAAGUGGCCAUGGAUUAUUGCAUUACUGCUUAUGAGCCAAAGAUACAGGCUCAUUUACUGCAUAACAUGUAAGUGAGUAACUGGCAUUACUUCACAGGUUCAGUCCUAGAGCUGCUACUUGUGCAAAUGAGCUUCUAUUUCUACGUUGAGCUUAUAUGUCUCUGUAUCUCUUUGUUGAGAUAUGUGGUUGGCAGAGUAAGUUUUGAAUUCCACAGCAGUUUUUGUUUUUCAUUUUUGAUAAUGAGGAACCCUUGACUCCACCUUCGGUGAGACCUGGGAUAUGUGUAGCUUCACAUAUCGGGCAAAGUUGAACAUAAAACCUUCUGGUUAUUUACUUGGGGACUCACCAUUUGAGCUAAACCCUUAUGGGUAUGAAUUCCAUACGAGUUAGUGUAUCGUUUUGUCAAUGGAAUUGAUUUUUUAAUUUUUGUUAAAGGUAUACUUUCGUAUUAUUGGCUAGUCUUAGAACAUGCAUAUCAAGGUAAAAUAGAUUUGUAAGGCUUUCAAUCCCAGGUGUGUGGAUCAGCUGGAAACAGUGAGUGGUGCAUCCUCCUGAGCCAAAGGACCCUCUUUGGCUAUCAAAUGGGAAUGUAUUUAACAUUUUCAUUAAUGGAAACUGGAUAAAGGUGUGAUCAGUCAACUCUCAUACCAUAAUUUGAAACGGAGUUCACUUAGUAGCUAGUUGUUGGUCUUCGAUAGUUAAUUUCAAUAAUGGCAUUAUUCAUGCAAAUUGAAGUCACUUUACCUGUAACAUGACAAUUCUUUAUGUUCUGUUGUUAGCUACUGGUGGGGAAUAUGGAUGAGGUAAUGAUGUAGAACGGCUAUUAAGAAAUCCGUUCAAUAAUCUAACUGUGCCAUAAAAUCCAUUCUGAAUGCAAUUAGAGAAUAGCAAGAGGAGUUUGUUGGAAAUAUGAGGUCCAGAGAAUUUGUAGAAACUAUCAAAUGGUAAGUCCCCAGAUCAACAACCAAGUGGUUUUAGGUUCGACUCCCUACUUUGCCCAAUAUGUGAGGCUAGUGGGUGGUCACACAUCCAGAAUUUUCUCCCAGCUCUCAUCAAAGGUGGGAUCAGGGGUUCCUCAUCACACACACACACACACACACACACACACAUAUAUAUAUAUAUAAAACUGGUAUGAAAUUCAUAACUAUGUUCAAGCCAUUAAUCACUGGCUCAUAAGUAGUAAUGCAUAUCCCUUUGACCAAUAAAAUGAUUUUCAAGAAGACAAAAAGGAAAGGAAAAAGGAAUACAACCUAUAGAAGGGUAAAGUACAAAUAUACUGCAGAGAAAAAUAAAACAAAACUGACCAAACUAGUGUUUUUGUUUACCAACGAGGAGUUUCAUCAGUUGAAGAUAACCAAACCACCUAAAAAAGUUUCUCCAUGAGUCUUGAUUUCGAGUUCACAGGAAGACAUUCUAAAGAAAAAUGUGUUUCAUGGAAAACUUGUUAGUUUGGUGCUUCAUUUUGUUUCCCUAUUUAUUUUCAGUUUCAGAUUUCACUCUAUGAAAAUUGAUAGUUUAGACUUCCGUAAUGUAAUCUAAUUCUAUAUGUAGAAAAGAGUUAAUCCUUGCAAUACCUACAGCUACUUUUAGGCAACAUGUGAUGGGGCUGCUGAUUUAGUGCACAAGCUCCAGCUUGCAGCAGUGUCUGAGAGAGAUAAAAGGUAGGCAGUCUUACAUCAAGUCACCAAGGCCGUGACUCAAACAUGCGCCACAAAGCUUGGGGUGGAUAGUAGUGGAAUGCCAUCGCACCAAGUCACAACCACACUCUAAUUACAGACCAAGAAACAAUGAGAGUGAAGAAAGAGAUUUAAAAAAUGACUUCUUCUUCUAACAAUAGCAACAUAAGAUUACAACUGAGACUGUGCAAUUGUGGAAGAACCGCUGCCAUAUAUAUUGUAAGAACCAAUGAGAAUGGAAAUCAAGGGCGUUUGUUCUUUGUUUGCCCAUCAAAAUAUAGUAACACUCCCACUCCCCAUUGUAAUUACUUCAAGUUUGUAGAUGAAGAUGAUGAAGACGUUACGCCCAGAAUCUGUUCCAACACUAGAGCUUGUGAUGCUAUAACAGUAGAAGACUUUAACGAUGUAAGGACGAGGCUUGAUGAUAUGGAAAAUGACUAUGGUCGAAGGCUUGAAAGGAUAGAAAAUAAUAUCAAAGCGAUGGUGUGUUUCAUUGUAUUUUCUAUCAUUUUGUACUUUAUGAUGUAACUUUUGUACUUUAUUGUAUUUUGGGAAACUAAAUAGAAGUUUCUAUCAUUUUGGGUUUUAUUGUA